rnacentral:sRNA from 1 species
UUUUUAGGGUAUCCAUGAGUUCAAAGUUGAUGCAGACAUAAUAAU